rnacentral:lncRNA from 1 species
AGGUUUUAGCUUAUUAACAAAAAAUAAAUUUAUUCAUGAGUGCAAAGCCAUUUAGAUUUCUUAGAAGAUCUCCUAGAAUAAAGAAAAAUGAAGAAAACAAAGUGAGCACAAGUAUACAAGAUAUGAACUUAUGUGGGGCAGAAACUUUUGGUGAAACAGUGCACAAACCAAAAAUAAAAUCACGUA